UCCGGUUUGGCACCGGCAGUCCUCCCAGAGUCCCCGGCGUUAUCCGCUGGCAACAUAGGAUAAGGGUUGCGCUCGUUGCGGGACUUAACCCAACAUCUCACGACACGAGCUGACGACAGCCAUGCACCACCUGUGCACUGGCCCCGAAGGGCUGCCGUAUUUCUACGGCAUUCCCGUGCAUGUCAAGCCCAGGUAAGGUUCUUCGCGUUGCGUCGAAUUAAACCACAUGCUCCACCGCUUGUGCGGGCCCCCGUCAAUUCCUUUGAGUUUCAGCCUUGCGGCCGUACUCCCCAGGCGGGACACUUACUGCGUUAGCGACGGCACCGGGAGGGUCGCUCCCCCCGACGCCUAGUGUCCAUCGUUUACGGCGUGGACUAC
rnacentral:misc_RNA from 1 species